rnacentral:tRNA from 1 species
GCCUGGGUGGCUCAGUCGGUUGAGCGUCCGACUUCGGCUCAGGUCAUGAUCUCGCGGUUCGUGGGUUCGAGCCCCACAUUGGGCU